rnacentral:rRNA from 1 species
UUGGCGGCGUGCUUAACACAUGCAAGUCGAACGAAACACCUUAUUUGAUUUUCUUCGGAACUGAAGAUUUGGUGAUUGAGUGGCAGACGGGUGAGUAACGCGUGGGUAACCUACCCUGUACAGGGGGAUAACAGUCAGAAAUGACUGCUAAUACCGCAUAAGACCACAGCACCGCAUGGUGCAGGGGCAAAAACUCCGGUGGUACAGGAUGGACCCGCGUCUGAUUAGCUGGUUGGUGAGGUAACGGCUCACCAAGGCGACGAUCAGUAGCCGGCUUGAGAGAGUGAACGGCCACAUUGGGACUGAGACACGGCCCAAACUCCUACGGGAGGCAGCAGUGGGGAAUAUUGCACAAUGGGGGAAACCCUGAUGCAGCGACGCCGCGUGAGUGAAGAAGUAUCUCGGUAUGUAAAGCUCUAUCAGCAGGGAAGAAAAUGACGGUACCUGACUAAGAAGCCCCGGCUAACUACGUGCCAGCAGCCGCGGUAAUACGUAGGGGGCAAGCGUUAUCCGGAAUUACUGGGUGUAAAGGGUGCGUAGGUGGUAUGGCAAGUCAGAAGUGAAAACCCAGGGCUUAACUCUGGGACUGCUUUUGAAACUGUCAGACUAGAGUGCAGGAGAGGUAAGCGGAAUUCCUAGUGUAGCGGUGAAAUGCGUAGAUAUUAGGAGGAACAUCAGUGGCGAAGGCGGCUUACUGGACUGAAACUGACACUGAGGCACGAAAGCGUGGGAGCAAAAAGGAUUCGAUACCCUGGUAGUCCACGCCGUAAAC